UUGAACGCUGGCGGCAGGCCUAACACAUGCAAGUCGAGCGGUAGCACAGAGAGCUUGCUCUCGGGUGACGAGCGGCGGACGGGUGAGUAAUGUCUGGGAAACUGCCUGAUGGAGGGGGAUAACUACUGGAAACGGUAGCUAAUACCGCAUAAUGUCGCAAGACCAAAGUGGGGGACCUUCGGGCCUCAUGCCAUCAGAUGUGCCCAGAUGGGAUUAGCUAGUAGGUGGGGUAACGGCUCACCUAGGCGACGAUCCCUAGCUGGUCUGAGAGGAUGACCAGCCACACUGGAACUGAGACACGGUCCAGACUCCUACGGGAGGCAGCAGUGGGGAAUAUUGCACAAUGGGCGCAAGCCUGAUGCAGCCAUGCCGCGUGUGUGAAGAAGGCCUUCGGGUUGUAAAGCACUUUCAUCGGGGAGGAAGGCGGUGAGGUUAAUAACCUCAUCGAUUGACGUUACCCGCAGAAGAAGCACCGGCUAACUCCGUGCCAGCAGCCGCGGUAAUACGGAGGGUGCAAGCGUUAAUCGGAAUUACUGGGCGUAAAGCGCACGCAGGCGGUCUGUCAAGUCGGAUGUGAAAUCCCCGGGCUCAACCUGGGAACUGCAUUCGAAACUGGCAGGCUAGAGUCUUGUAGAGGGGGGUAGAAUUCCAGGUGUAGCGGUGAAAUGCGUAGAGAUCUGGAGGAAUACCGGUGGCGAAGGCGGCCCCCUGGACAAAGACUGACGCUCAGGUGCGAAAGCGUGGGGAGCAAACAGGAUUAGAUACCCUGGUAGUCCACGCCGUAAACGAUGUCGAUUUGGAGGUUGUGCCCUUGAGGCGUGGCUUCCGGAGCUAACGCGUUAAAUCGACCGCCUGGGGAGUACGGCCGCAAGGUUAAAACUCAAAUGAAUUGACGGGGGCCCGCACAAGCGGUGGAGCAUGUGGUUUAAUUCGAUGCAACGCGAAGAACCUUACCUGGUCUUGACACCCACAGAACUUUCCAGAGAUGGAUUGGUGCCUUCGGGAACUGUGAGACAGGUGCUGCAUGGCUGUCGUCAGCUCGUGUUGUGAAAUGUUGGGUUAAGUCCCGCAACGAGCGCAACCCUUAUCCUUUGUUGCCAGCGGUUAGGCCGGGAACUCAAAGGAGACUGCCAGUGAUAAACUGGAGGAAGGUGGGGAUGACGUCAAGUCAUCAUGGCCCUUACGACCAGGGCUACACACGUGCUACAAUGGCAUAUACAAAGAGAAGCGACCUCGCGAGAGCAAGCGGACCUCAUAAAGUAUGUCGUAGUCCGGAUUGGAGUCUGCAACUCGACUCCAUGAAGUCGGAAUCGCUAGUAAUCGUAGAUCAGAAUGCUACGGUGAAUACGUUCCCGGGCCUUGUACACACCGCCCGUCACACCAUGGGAGUGGGUUGCAAAAGAAGUAGGUAGCUUAACCUUCGGGAGGGCGCUUACCACUUUGUGAUUCAUGACUGGGGUG
rnacentral:rRNA from 1 species